UACGUAGGGUGCGAGCGUUAAUCGGAAUUACUGGGCGUAAAGCGUGCGCAGGCGGUUCUAUAAGACAGAUGUGAAAUCCCCGGGCUCAACCUGGGAAUUGCAUUUGUGACUGCACGGCUAGAGUGUGUCAGAGGGGGGUAGAAUUCCACGUGUGAGCAGUGAAAUGCGUAGAGAUGUGGAGGAAUACCGAUGGCGAAGGCAGCCCCCUGGGAUAACACUGACGCUCAUGCACGAAAGCGUGGG
rnacentral:rRNA from 1 species